CAUAGGCUCAAGCUCAGAUUGGCUUAAUGUGACCCUUAAACUGUGACUCUUAGAACUCCAGAAUGUAAUCUGGGAUAAGGGUGACAGAUGAAAGGCCCAAGCCAAGGCAGUAAUGUUAAUUAAUCCAGGUGGGGUCCCUUGAAUAGAUCACUAUCACUGUGAGACUUUUACAAACAGGAGGAUUUCACUAUACUAGAAGCACACAGAGAAAUUCUUUACAACAUGAAAGGGAGGAAGGGCCACCUCAUAAAAGAGAGGGUCUUCUGUUUUUCUUGGCAGGCUGAGUUAAGGUUUUACAACGUGGAAGGAGUUCAUAUUGAAUAGAUGAAAACAAACCUUGAUAGUUGCAUCCCACAUGCGACUUUACAACUUCUUAGAAGGAGCAAAUGUCAGCUGGACACCAGACAAAACGUUCCUGGACUGGAAACUAAAAUGACUUGGGGAGGCUAUAGAUGUUCUGAAUUGGUGACUGAGAUCCAGGGCCGGUUCUAAAGGGCGGCCACGUCGGGUACUGGCCCGAGGGCCCCUGGAGCCCCUCCGCUCCCCUUCCGCAAUCCGUGGCAAGAGCAAUGGCGACAGAGGCUUCAGACCCUUAGGGAAACCUUGGCAACCCUGCAGUGCGCACAGCCACAAAAAACAGCAGAGAGAAAGAUGUGUGAUGCCACUUGGACAAGGUAACUUAUUGCCUCAAACUCUAAGCCAGCAUCUGGCAGCUGUGAAACAUUUUCCUCUUCAGAAUUAUCUAUUUCUCAAGAAUCAGAUUCACUACUGCCAUAUAAGGCCUCCUCCCAGUCAAUUUCUGUUCCAUUUAGACUUUCUGAGGAACGCUGUGCUUCUGUGACAUCAGAACUUUUCCUUACUUCGGCUGGAUUUGUGAAGUAGUACUCUAAAGAUCCAAAAGAUGAAGCUCUGGAAGAUGAAUCUCUGGAGGA